rnacentral:rRNA from 1 species
AUGAACGCUAGCUACAGGCUUAACACAUGCAAGUCGAGGGGCAGCAUGGUCUUAGCUUGCUAAGGCCGAUGGCGACCGGCGCACGGGUGAGUAACACGUAUCCAACCUGCCGUCUACUCUUGGACAGCCUUCUGAAAGGAAGAUUAAUACAAGAUGGCAUCAUGAGUCCGCAUGUUCACAUGAUUAAAGGUAUUCCGGUAGACGAUGGGGAUGCGUUCCAUUAGAUAGUAGGCGGGGUAACGGCCCACCUAGUCUUCGAUGGGUAGGGGUUCUGAGAGGAAGGUCCCCCACAUUGGAACUGAGACACGGUCCAAACUCCUACGGGAGGCAGCAGUGAGGAAUAUUGGUCAAUGGGCGAGAGCCUGAACCAGCCAAGUAGCGUGAAGGAUGACUGCCCUAUGGGUUGUAAACUUCUUUUAUAAAGGAAUAAAGUCGGGUAUGGAUACCCGUUUGCAUGUACUUUAUGAAUAAGGAUCGGCUAACUCCGUGCCAGCAGCCGCGGUAAUACGGAGGAUCCGAGCGUUAUCCGGAUUUAUUGGGUUUAAAGGGAGCGUAGAUGGAUGUUUAAGUCAGUUGUGAAAGUUUGCGGCUCAACCGUAAAAUUGCAGUUGAUACUGGAUAUCUUGAGUGCAGUUGAGGCAGGCGGAAUUCGUGGUGUAGCGGUGAAAUGCUUAGAUAUCACGAAGAACUCCGAUUGCGAAGGCAGCCUGCUAAGCUGCAACUGACAUUGAGGCUCGAAAGUGUGGGUAUCAAACAGGAUUAGAUACCCUGGUAGUCCACACGGUAAACGAUGAAUACUCGCUGUUUGCGAUAUACAGCAAGCGGCCAAGCGAAAGCGUUAAGUAUUCCACCUGGGGAGUACGCCGGCAACGGUGAAACUCAAAGGAAUUGACGGGGGCCCGCACUAGCGGAGGAACAUGUGGUUUAAUUCGAUGAUACGCGAGGAACCUUACCCGGGCUUAAAUUGCAGAUGAAUUACGGUGAAAGCCGUAAGCCGCAAGGCAUCUGUGAAGGUGCUGCAUGGUUGUCGUCAGCUCGUGCCGUGAGGUGUCGGCUUAAGUGCCAUAACGAGCGCAACCCUUGUUGUCAGUUACUAACAGGUUCCGCUGAGGACUCUGACAAGACUGCCAUCGUAAGAUGUGAGGAAGGUGGGGAUGACGUCAAAUCAGCACGGCCCUUACGUCCGGGGCUACACACGUGUUACAAUGGGGGGUACAGAGGGCCGCUACCACGCGAGUGGAUGCCAAUCCCCAAAACCUCUCUCAGUUCGGACUGGAGUCUGCAACCCGACUCCACGAAGCUGGAUUCGCUAGUAAUCGCGCAUCAGCCACGGCGCGGUGAAUACGUUCCCGGGCCUUGUACACACCGCCCGUCAAGCCAUGGGAGCCGGGGGUACCUGAAGUGCGUAACCGCGAGGAGCGCCCUAGGGUAAAACUGGUGACUGGGGCU